rnacentral:lncRNA from 1 species
CAUGCACCUCACUAAGUCCAGUGUGCCACGUUUUCAAGCAUGUGCGCGAGCGAGGCAAAAUCAGCAGCACAUGCAGAUACUGAUGCAUGGAGGAAAAAGUACUCGUAGCAUGGGACUCCACUGCUGGACUGAUGCAGGCGUCUGCGUGGCCCCAGGGGUCCUCUCAUCAGAGUGAUGGAAAGUGGAUGCCUGACCUGACCUGACUUGGCCGCUGCUACUGCUACUGAUGGUCUUCCAAAUAGAUACGCACGGUUUUUCUCCGGUAAAAUUUGAUGAAUUAAAUCAACAAUUUUUUUCUUAUUUUUUUUUCAUUUAGUUUAUUUAAUUAUAUUAGAGAAAAACCAAGUAUCACCACGGUCCCUAUUGCUAGCAUGGCACGCCGCACGCAAACCUUUCCAGCCUUCCUCGUGCUUGCCUCGCGUGUGGCCGUGUGCAGUCGCAAGUGUCGGUGGUUAGCGGGCGUCGACUAUAUACCUCUGUAAUUUUGAUGAGAUCAUGACAGCCAUUACCAUUUCGAGUCUUGUCGAGCGAGACGGUUGGUCUGUCGGUACGAGAGAUGGAUGCCAACGUUGCCU